UACGUAGGUGGCAAGCGUUAUCCGGAUUUACUGGGUGUAAAGGGCGUGUAGGCGGGACUGCAAGUCAGAUGUGAAACCCACGGGCUCAACCCAUGGCCUGCAUUUGAAACUGUAGUUCUUGAGUGAUGGAGAGGCAGGCGGAAUUCCGUGUGUAGCGGUGAAAUGCGUAGAUAUACGGAGGAACACCAGUGGCGAAGGCGGCCUGCUGGACAUUAACUGACGCUGAGGCGCGAAAGCGUGGGGAGCAAACAGG
rnacentral:rRNA from 1 species